GGAGGGUGUAGCUCAGUGGUAGAGAGCAUGCCUAGCAUGCAUGAGGUCCUGGGUUCAAUCCCCAGUACCUCCA
rnacentral:tRNA from 1 species